UACGUAGGGUGCAAGCGUUUGUCCGGAAUUAUUGGGCGUAAAGAGCUCGUAGGCGGUUUGUUGCGUCGGCCUGUGAAAUCCCGAGGCUCAACCUCGGGUCUGCAGUCGAUACGAGCAAACUAGAGUGUUGCAGGGGAGACUGGAAUUCCUGGUGUAGCGGUGAAAUGCGCAGAUAUCAGGAGGAACACCGGUGGCGAAGGCGGGUCUCUGGGCAACAACUGACGCUGAGGAGCGAAAGCGUGGGGGAGCGAACAGG
rnacentral:rRNA from 1 species